AUGGCCAGCGGCGGCUCGUCGGACGCGGAGGCGGAGCUGCGGCGGGGCUUCAAGGCCCUGGCCGUGACGCGGCCGGACCCGGCGGCCGCGGUCUACGAGGUGCGCCUCAGCCGCCCCGCGCAGCGCAACGCGCUCAGCCCGGACUCCUUCGCGGAGAUCCCGCGCGCCAUGGCGCUGCUCGACCGCGUCCCCGCCGCGCGCGCCGUCGUGCUCUCCGCCGCGGGCCCGCACUUCUGCGCGGGCAUCGAGCUCGGCGGGCCCGGGAACCCGCUCACCGCGCCCUUCAGCCGGGGCGCCGACCCCGCGGCCGCGGCCGAGGGGCUCCGCCGCGCGAUCCUCGGCAUGCAAGCCGCGCUCACCGCCGUCGAGCUGUGCCGGAAGCCCGUCAUCGCGGCCGUGCACGGCGCCUGCGUCGGCGGCGGCGUCGACCUCGUCGCCGCCUGCGACAUACGCUACUGCUCCAAGGACGCCACGUUCGUGCUCAAGGAGGUGGACAUGGCCAUCGUCGCCGACCUCGGCGCGCUGCAGCGCCUGCCGCGGAUCGUCGGCUACGGGAACGCGGCGGACCUCGCGCUCACCGGCCGCAGGAUCACCGCCGCGGAGGCCAAGGAGAUGGGGCUCGUCAGCAGGGUGUUCGAUUCCAAGCAGGAGCUGGAUGCCGGUGUUGCGAAGAUCGCCAAAGAAAUAUCAGAGAAGUCGGCAAACGCAGUGAUGGGAACGAAGGCAGUUCUACUGAGAAGCAGAGAUAUCACAGUAGAGCAGGGUCUGGAACAUGUAGCGACUUGGAAUUCUGGAAUGCUGAGAUCUAAUGACCUGAUGGAGGCCAUCAAAGCUUUCAUGGAGAAGCGGAAGCCUGUUUUCUCUAAACUCUGA
rnacentral:rRNA from 1 species